rnacentral:rRNA from 1 species
UACGAAGGGUGCGGGCGUAUUCGUUUUGAUUGGGUGUAAAGGGUGCGUAGGCGGGCGGUGUAGGUUUUGGCUAAAAGUGCGGAGUUGUUCCUACGCAGUGCCUUUUCUCGAGCCGUCUUGUGUUGAAGAGAGGUUUUAGCGCAAUAUCUCAUGUAGGGGUAGAAUCCUAACAGAUGAGGUCGAACGCGAUCGGCGGAGGCAGCUUUCUAGCUUCAACAGACGCUGAGUGGUAUCGAAGGCGGCGAGCAUAAACAGG